GGCUUAGAGUUUGAUCAUGGCUCAGGAUGAACGCUAGCUACAGGCUUAACACAUGCAAGUCGAGGGGCAGCAUGAACUUAGCUUGCUAAGUUUGAUGGCGACCGGCGCACGGGUGAGUAACACGUAUCCAACCUGCCGAUGACUCGGGGAUAGCCUUUCGAAAGAAAGAUUAAUACCCGAUGGCAUAGUUCUUCCGCAUGGUGGAACUAUUAAAGAAUUUCGGUCAUCGAUGGGGAUGCGUUCCAUUAGGUUGUUGGCGGGGUAACGGCCCACCAAGCCUUCGAUGGAUAGGGGUUCUGAGAGGAAGGUCCCCUACAUUGGAACUGAGACACGGUCCAAACUCCUACGGGAGGCAGCAGUGAGGAAUAUUGGUCAAUGGACGAGAGUCUGAACCAGCCAAGUAGCGUGAAGGAUGACUGCCUUAUGGGUUGUAACCUUCUUUUAUACGGGAAUAAAGUGAGGCACGUGUGCCUUUUUGUAUGUACCGUAUGAAUAAGGAUCGGCUAACUCCGUGCCAGCAGCCGCGGUAAUACGGAGGAUCCGAGCGUUAUCCGGAUUUAUUGGGUUUAAAGGGAGCGUAGGCGGACGCUUAAGUCAGUUGUGAAAGUUUGCGGCUCAACCGUAAAAUUGCAGUUGAUACUGGGUGUCUUGAGUACAGUAGAGGCAGGCG
rnacentral:rRNA from 1 species